rnacentral:lncRNA from 1 species
UUAUAAUGAUAAUUACACUGAUUCUUUUGAGGAAAGGUAUUCAUUUUAUGAAAUUGUUGGCAAGGACGUGGGUUUUGUCCCGCUUGCGUAUUUAUGGUUAUAAAAGAGAAUAAAAAGCAGAGGACCUGUUGAAAGGUCAUUUGUUGCUUGAGGCAACCCAAGAGAUGUGUUUAUUCAUUUGUUGCGUUAAGGCAACUCCAGAUAUACUUGUAUGAUCAUCUGCUGCAGUGAGGCAGUCAGAUAGAUAAUGGUGUGAUCACUGAAAACGCUUUCCUACGGUAC